CCGUCUGUUCACAAGCUCGCGCUCUGGGGAUGGAUCUGCGGCCCAUCAGCUAGUUGGUGAGGUAACGGCUCACCAAGGCUACGACGGGUAGCUGGUCUGAGAGGAUGAUCAGCCACACUGGAACUGAGACACGGUCCAGACUCCUACGGGAGGCAGCAGUGGGGAAUCUUGCGCAAUGGGCGAAAGCCUGACGCAGCGACGCCGCGUGGGUGACGAAGGCCUUCGGGUUGUAAAGCCCUGUGGGGAGGAACGAACCGUCCGGGGGCCAAUACCCUCCGGGCCUGACGGUACCUCUUUAGCAAGCAUCGGCUAACUCUGUGCCAGCAGCCGCGGUAAGACAGAGGAUGCGAACGUUGCUCGGAAUUACUGGGCGUAAAGCGCGCGUAGGUGGCCUUGUAAGUCUCGUGUGAAAGCCCUCUGCUCAACGGAGGAAGUGCACGGGAUACUGCGAGGCUGGAGUACAGAAGAGGACAGCGGAAUUCCCGGUGUAGAGGUGAAAUUCGUAGAUAUCGGGA
rnacentral:rRNA from 1 species